rnacentral:rRNA from 1 species
GUAGGAGGAGGUUCUAGCGAGCCCAACCUCCCACCCGUGUUUACUGUACCUUAGUUGCUUCGGCGGGCCCGCCAUUCAUGGCCGCCGGGGGCUCUCAGCCCCGGGCCCGCGCCCGCCGGAGACACCACGAACUCUGUCUGAUCUAGUGAAGUCUGAGUUGAUUGUAUCGCAAUCAGUUAAAACUUUCAACAAUGGAUCUCUUGGUUCCGGCAUCGAUGAAGAACGCAGCGAAAUGCGAUAACUAGUGUGAAUUGCAGAAUUCCGUGAAUCAUCGAGUCUUUGAACGCACAUUGCGCCCCCUGGUAUUCCGGGGGGCAUGCCUGUCCGAGCGUCAUUGCUGCCCAUCAAGCACGGCUUGUGUGUUGGGUCGUCGUCCCCUCUCCGGGGGGGACGGGCCCCAAAGGCAGCGGCGGCACCGCGUCCGAUCCUCGAGCGUAUGGGGCUUUGUCACCCGCUCUGUAGGCCCGGCCGGCGCUUGCCGAACGCAAAUCAAUCUUUUUCCAGGUUGACCUCGGAUCAGGUCGGAUGC